CUAAGGGUAUGUUUGGUUCGGGGUUUUUGGAGGGGAUGGGAGGGGAGGUGAGGGAAUAUUUUAAAUGUUUUGUGUUUGGUUCAAAUUUUAUGAGGGGAGAGGAGGGGAGGGGAGGUGAGCAAAAUCCCUCCAAUGAUCAAUUUUUGCUUCCCCCCAAAUUGGGGGGAUUUGGAGGGGAGGGGAGGUGAGGAGAGAUGAAUUAUUAUAAUUUUAAUUACAUUGACAUAAUUAUCCUCAUAUUUAUUUGAAAAUACCAAAACUUUCCUUUUAAAAUUUAUAUUAAAUCAUACUAAGUUAUUUGUUUGUUGCCAUUUUUUGUACGUUGCUAACAUCCUGUGUUUAUUUUUUACCUGUACUAUUUUUUUUUUGUUUUAAUGUACUUUUUUUUACAAGAUACUUGUUUUUAUUUUUUACCUAUCCUACAACAUUUUUGGAUGAAUACUUUUUUUUUAUAUAUAAUAAAAUGAACACUUUUUAAUUCAUUGCACUGUACAUA
rnacentral:lncRNA from 1 species